GACGAACGCUGGCGGCGUGCCUAAUACAUGCAAGUAGAACGCACAGUUUAUACCGUAGCUUGCUACACCAUAGACUGUGAGUUGCGAACGGGUGAGUAACGCGUAGGUAACCUGCCUGGCAGCGGGGGAUAACUAUUGGAAACGAUAGCUAAUACCGCAUAAUAUUAAUUAUUGCAUGAUAAUUAAUUGAAAGGUGCAAUUGCACCACUACCAGAUGGACCUGCGUUGUAUUAGCUAGUAGGUGAGGUAACGGGUCACCUAGGCGACGAUUCAUAGCCGACCUGGGAGGGUGGUCGGCCACACUGGGACUGGGACAAGGCCCAGACUCCUACGGGAGGCAGCAGGAGGGAAACUUCGGCAAUGGACGAAAGUCUGACCGGGCAACGCCGCGGGAGUGAAGAAGGGUCUCGGAUCGUAAAGCUCUGUUGUAAGAGAAGAACGGGUGUGAGAGUGGAAAGUUCACACUGUGACGGUAUCUUACCAGAAAGGGACGGCUAACUACGUG
rnacentral:rRNA from 1 species